UGGGGAAUAUUGCACAAUGGGCGAAAGCCUGAUGCAGCAACGCCGCGUGAGCGAUGAAGGCCUUUGGGUCGUAAAGCUCUGUCCUUGGGGAAGAAAAAAAUGACGGUACCCUUGGAGGAAGCCCCGGCUAACUACGUGCCAGCAGCCGCGGUAAUACGUAGGGGGCAAGCGUUAUCCGGAAUUAUUGGGCGUAAAGAGUGCGUAGGUGGUUUUAUAAGCGCAGGGUGAAAGGCAAUGGCUCAACUAUUGUAAGCCUUGCGAACUGUGAGACUUGAGUGCAGGAGAGGAAAGUGGAAUUCCUAGUGUAGCGGUGGAAUGCGUAGAUAUUAGGAGGAACACCAGUGGCGAAGGCGACUUUCUGGACUGUUACUGACACUGGGGCACGAAAGCGUGGGGAGCAAACA
rnacentral:rRNA from 1 species